GAUGAACGCUGGCGGCGUGCUUAACACAUGCAAGUCGAACGAAGCACUUUUUUUUGAAGUUUGUUAGUUUACUAAUAAAUGGAAACGUAAAGUGACUGAGUGGCGGACGGGUGAGUAACGCGUGGAUAACCUGCCUCAUACAGGGGGAUAACAGUCAGAAAUGACUGCUAAAACCGCAUAAGCGCACAGUAUCGCAUGAUACGGUGUGAAAAACUCCGGUGGUAUGAGAUGGAUCCGCGUCUGAUUAGCUAGUUGGUGGGGUAAUGGCCUACCAAGGCGACGAUCAGUAGCCGGCCUGAGAGGGUGAACGGCCACAUUGGGACUGAGACACGGCCCAAACUCCUACGGGAGGCAGCAGUGGGGAAUAUUGCACAAUGGGGGAAACCCUGAUGCAGCGACGCCGCGUGAGUGAAGAAGUAUUUCGGUACGUAAAGCUCUAUCAGCAGGGAAGAAAAUGACGGUACCUGACUAAGAAGCCCCGGCUAACUACGUGCCAGCAGCCGCAGUAAUAC
rnacentral:rRNA from 1 species